rnacentral:lncRNA from 1 species
GGCUGACUUUAUUUAAAAAAAUUGGUCUGAUCUCAAUUGUCUCAAAUUUGAUGGGUCUGAUUUUCUCCCAUUAAUCCAAUAGAAUGUAACAUAUUUAUUUCAAAACAGUUUUUCCCAUCCUUUAAAAGACCAUUUAUCUAAACAACUAUAAAAAGAUAUGAAGUUUUUACCCUCUAGUCCUCUACAUGAUGUUUUUUUAAUCAUUUUCUGUGCUGCAUGUAUUGUUACCUGUUUUGACUCAUUAAUACACCUUCCUGCAGUGCUUAAAGUUUGAAUACCAAGCAGUGUAAUGCACCUGCCUAUUUGAGUAUAAUUGAGACAAUAUAAUAUCACAUAUAAAAUGCCCAACUAUGAACAUUAUAAAUAAUGGAAAAACAUAGCACCUUUUUGCAAAAAAUACAAUACUGAAC